ACGAACGCUGGCGGCGUGCUUCACACCUGCCAGUCGAACGGAAAGGCCCUGCUUUUGUGGGGUGCUCGAGUGGCGAACGGGUGAGUAACACGUGAGUAACCUGCCCUUGACUUUGGGAUAACUUCAGGAAACUGGGGCUAAUACCGGAUAGGAGCUCCUGCUGCAUGGUGGGGGUUGGAAAGUUUCGGCGGUUGGGGAUGGACUCGCGGCUUAUCAGCUUGUUGGUGGGGUAGUGGCUUACCAAGGCUUUGACGGGUAGCCGGCCUGAGAGGGUGACCGGCCACAUUGGGACUGAGAUACGGCCCAGACUCCUACGGGAGGCAGCAGUGGGGAAUAUUGCACAAUGGGCGGAAGCCUGAUGCAGCAACGCCGCGUGCGGGAUGACGGCCUUCGGGUUGUAAACCGCUUUCGCCUGUGAUGAAGCGUGAGUGACGGUAAUGGGUAAAGAAGCACCGGCUAACUACGUG
rnacentral:rRNA from 1 species